GUGAACGCUGGCGGCAGGCCUAACACAUGCAAGUCGAGCGGCAGCACAAGAGAGCUUGCUCUCUGGGUGGCGAGUGGCGGACGGGUGAGGAAUGCAUCGGAAUCUGCCCAUUUGUGGGGGAUAACCUCGGGAAACCGGGACUAAUACCGCAUACGACCUACGGGUGAAAGCAGGGGAUCUUCGGACCUUGCGCAGAUGGAUGAGCCGAUGCCGGAUUAGCUAGUUGGAGGGGUAAAGGCCCACCAAGGCGACGAUCCGUAGCUGGUCUGAGAGGAUGAUCAGCCACACUGGGACUGAGACACGGCCCAGACUCCUACGGGAGGCAGCAGUGGGGAAUAUUGGACAAUGGGCGCAAGCCUGAUCCAGCCAUGCCGCGUGUGUGAAGAAGGCCUUCGGGUUGUAAAGCACUUUUGUUGGGAAAGAAAAGCAGCCGGUUAAUACCCGGUUGUCAUGACGGUACCCAAAGAAUAAGCACCGGCUAACUUCGUG
rnacentral:rRNA from 1 species